UACGAAGGGGGCUAGCGUUGCUCGGAAUCACUGGGCGUAAAGCGCACGUAGGCGGCUUCUUAAGUCAGGGGUGAAAUCCUGGAGCUCAACUCCAGAACUGCCCUUGAUACUGAGAGGCUCGAGUCCGGGAGAGGUGAGUGGAACUCCGAGUGUAGAGGUGAAAUUCGUAGAUAUUCGGAAGAACACCAGUGGCGAAGGCGGCUCACUGGCCCGGUACUGACGCUGAGGUGCGAAAGCGUGGGGAGCAACAGG
rnacentral:rRNA from 1 species